ensembl:lncRNA
CUCUCCUGCUGGCCUUGAAGAAGCCAGCUACGUGUUGCGACUGCCUAUGGAGGGCUCGUGGCAAGGAACUGCUGUGGCCUUUAGCAAUGGAUAGCAGCCUCCAGCUGGUCGCCCGCGAGCAGUGUGAAGCUCUCAGCCUUAUACCCACAAGGAAAUAAAUUCUUCUAAUAACCUGAGGGAACUUAGAAACAGAUUCUCCCCCUGACAAGCCUCCAGAUGAGAACACAGAUUGCCUGUCACCUUGACUGCGGCCUGUGACCCUGAGCACGGACCCAGUUAGACCCUAAUGCCCAGAAACUGGGAGAUAAUAAAUGCGUGUUGUUUAAAGCUGCUAAAUUCGCAGUCAUUUGUCAUGCAGUAGUCGAUGACUAGUACAAGGGAUUUGUGGAGUAAAUGAAUACAGAACGCCAUGUCCCAGGGGUGGCAUGGAGCCACUAAAGAAGACAAGCCUCGCAAGCCCUUGUGGAAGCACCAUUUGCAUUAAGGAAGAGGCAACUGCCUGGACUUCUUAGCCCAUCUUUUAAAGAUAUAACAGAAGUGCUUCAAGGACAACCCGGGGAAAGCACUGGGUUUGUCACUUCGUGGAUGGGCAGUCCUAUGGAAAGGAUCAUUCCAGCAAAGACUGCGGUCCCAGCUCUCUGGCUGUCAGAGUCUCACAACCAAGCCAGUGGUGGACCCAUCAUGGAACUCAUGAGUUAUCCUGGCUGCAGAGCACAGAGCAAAAGGGUCCACUUAAGAGGCAGUAUCUCAGGAGAAGAUAAAUCAAGUGACAAGCUGAACACAUUGUUCUUGUUGAGGGGCCAAGCAGAGGCAUAUUCCAAGUGUGAGCCAACAAGACGGGAACCAUGCAAACCAGAAAGAGAGACAUUUCAAAGCAGAGACUUGGAGAUAGAGCCUAAGAAAGUCCUCCCAUGAAGAGAAUGUGUCUAGCAAUUGAUUACCAUGAAUGUGCUAAUCAGAGAAGAUCACUCCUGCUGCACACCUAAGAGGUUAUCCCUCUGGGGAAUGUAAGCCCUAACCAGGAGGGAAAGUAAUUGGCCUGCUAUGGACUGUAUGCUUGUGUCCCUAUGCCCCCAAAUUCAUAUCUUGAAGUCCUAACCCUCAGUAUGAAGAUAUUUGGAGGUGAGGUCUUUGGGAAGCAAGUUUAAAUGAGGUCAUGAGUGUGGGGCCCUAAUUUGACAGAGCCGGCACCCAAAUAAGCAGAGGAAAAGACCAGAGCCCUUUUUUUCUGCACCAUGUGAGUGUCCAAGCAGAAGGCAGCAGUCUGCAAUCCAGGAAGAGCAGCAGGCCCCAAACUGGGUGGAACUUUGAUAUUGGACUUCCCAGCCUCCGGAAUUGUGAGAAAUAGAUUGCUGUUGCUUAAGCCACCCAGUCUAUGGUAUUCGACUAAGGCAAUGCCCAAAGGUCCUGACACCUGAUACCCUUUACUGUGUCCCAUGGAGAUUCCAAGUGCUUUAUAGAAUCAGCUCAUUUCAUCCUCAUCAUUUUAACCUCACAAACCAAUGAGGUAAGUGGUUUUCAUCACACUACGCAGAUGACGACACCAGGUAUAAAGAGGUCAGGAGACGUGUGGCUGGUGCGUGCAGUGCCUGGAUCUCACUCCCGCGGUCUGACACCACAGCCUGGACAGGGAACCACGGGACCUCAGUGCCUCGUGGGAUUUUAAUGGUAGGAGUGUUAGUCAAGGAUAGGACACUUC